rnacentral:rRNA from 1 species
AUUGAACGCUGGCGGCAUGCCUAACACAUGCAAGUCGAGCGAGCGGCGGACGGGUGAGUAAUGUAUGGGGACUGCCCGAUCGAGGGGGAUAACUACUGGAACCGGUAGCUACUACCGCAUACUAUCGGAUAACCCAUAUGGGAUUAGCUAGUCGGUGGGGUAAUGGCUCACCUAGGCGACGAUCCCUAGCUGGUCUGAGAGGAUGAUCAGCCACACUGGGACUGAGACACGGCCCAGACGCCAAGGGAGGAAGCAGUGGGGAAUAUUGCACAAUGGGCGAAAGCCUGAUGCAGCCAUGCCGCGUGUAUGAAGAAGGCCCUAGGGUUGUAAAGUACUUUCAGUCGGGAGGCGUUACCGACAGAAGAAGCACCGGCGAACUCCGUGCCAGCAGCCGCGGUAAUAC